GGGUACUCCUUUUGCCCCAUACCAACACACCCCCGAGUGUAAAUACCAAACCUCUCUUCUUAUAUAGCAGUGGAGGGAGCUGGCCUUCCUCCUCCUCAAUGAAAGCACGUAAGAUCAUGACCGUCCAUCCAAUCUCUCCUUUCUUCACUACCGUCCAUCAUCAUUCUAACACCCCAUCGCCCUCAUCAUCAUCUCCAUCCAAACACUCACUAUCUACAGCUGCAGACUCUUACUUGAAUCUCCUUCUCCAAGGAAACGCUUCCCAAACACUUCCACCCCUAGAAAAAACCCUAUCCCAAAUCAAACAGAAGCUCGACUCCUCCUCCGUCGAAACCGUCCUCCGCAAUCCCUCCACCGUCCGACCAUUGGCCCUCCGAUUCUUCGUCUGGGCCGGUCACCAACCCAAUUACCGCCACACCGCGUUGAUGUACAGCAAAGCCUGCGAAUUUCUCGAAAUCGCCCACCGCCCUCAAACCCUAACCGACCUUCUAGAAGCUUACAGGGUCGAACGGUGUCCAGUCUCCGUCAGAACCUUCAAGAUCAUUCUCAAUCUCUGCAGAGAAGCGAAGCUUGCUGAUCAGGCAUUGGGUGUCCUGAAGAGGAUGGGGGAAUUCAAUUGCCGGCCGGACACGGCUUCCUACAAUGUUGUCAUCCGUCUCUUUGUUGAGAAGAAGGAGAUCAGUAUGGUGGAAGAUCUAGUGGAAGAGAUGGCGCUGAUUGGGCUUUACCCUGAUGUGAUCACCUGCAUUGCGAUGAUCAAGGGGUUCUGCAAUGCAGGCCGGUUGGAGGAUGCGUGGGCUGUCGUCCGACGUAUGCGGUGCCAUGGGUGCAUCCCGAAUGUGGCUGUGUACUCUGCGUUGCUUGAUGGGGCUUGCAGGAGUGGGAGUUUGGAGACUGCAUUGGAGUUGUUGGAAGAGAUGGAGAAAGAGAAGAAUGGCUGUGAGCCGAAUGUUGUCACGUAUACGUCGGUAAUUCAGAGAAUGUUUGAGAAGGGCAGAGUAGAUGAAGCGUUGACGGUUUUGGAUCGGAUGCGGGAGAAAGGGUGUGCUCCGAAUUGGGUCACGAUCAGCACGGUUAUUAAUGGGCUUUGUAUGGAAGGAUGGAUAGAUGAUGCGUAUAGGCUGAUUGAGAAAAUGGUGGCAGAAGGGAGCUGUUCAAGCGAUCGAUGUUAUAGCUCGCUGACAGUCUCUUUGCUGCGGAUGAAGGCUUUGGAUGAAGCAGAGAAGCUUGUUAGGAGGAUGUUGGACAGUGGUGUUACGCCAGAUGGAUUGGCGUCUGGGUCAUUGAUAAAGGAUCUUUGCUUGGCAGGACGGGCUUUGGACGGGUUUCGGUUUUUUCAUGAAGUAGAGAAGGUGUGUGGACUGCUUCUUGAUUCGGAUGUUUAUUCUGUUUUGGUUGCAGGGCUUUGUCGGCAAGGCCAUUUGGUCGAAGCUGCAGCCGUGGUUGGUGUGAUGGUUGCUAGAGGGAUUCGAGCGAGAGCUCCUUAUAUUGAUGGUGUUGUGGAAGAACUGAAGGCGGCUGGUGACAAUGAGCUGGCUUUGCACCUUUUGGGUAUUGGAGGAUGAUCAAAGUUAAAGUGCUCUACAAGACUUUGUUUGACAUCAGAAGAGCAACUUAGAAAGUGAGGCCAUUGCUUUUCUGGUGAAAAUUGGAGGACCCGCUCAAUUUUGAAUAGGUGGAAAAAAGCUAAACAACCAUGCCUCUUCAGGUGUGAUGAAAAGAUGAUCUGCAGAUUCCAACUAUUUUCAUAUUAUGAAUCUACUGGAGAGGGCCCAAACUCUGAUGAAGGUUAUCAACCCUGAAAAUCCUGUUUGCAAUAGCUGCGCAGAAUCAUGUUUUAUUUCAAUUUCUCUUUAGUGGAGUGUGUGGGGAGGGAUGUUUUAGCUGCCAGAACGAGUUGGAGGUUUUUGAAAUUAUACAGGGAAUAUUGCUGAUUUGUGAUCAUGUGUAAGGCAUUGGUUAACAGAGCAUGAAAUGACAAACCUGGUGGGAUGGAUUCAUCAUCAUCAUCAUCAACUCUGUUGCAUGGAUUGCUUGUGUAUCCAUAGGCCAGCCAUUGAAAGGUUAGGAUUGACCUGUUGAGGAGAUUUUAAAGGCAUUGUUAGCCAACGAUGAGGCACAUCAAACGGUGGCAUGGGCCCUGAUUGUAAAGAAUCUUGUGCAAGUGGAUGACAUCCUUAAGGACUACAGAUUGGAAAAAAAUGCAUUGGGAGUUGCUUUGAGCCGAAUUUGGGAACUGGGUCUUCUUUGAACCCUUCUGUUCUUUUAUCUUGUGAUGAUGUUAUGUGAUCCAAAUUCGUUCAUCUGCUUUGUUCCAGGCGGCAUUUUCAGUGCAAUGGAUAGACUUCCAUCU